AUGGUGCUUGCAUCGUUCAAAUCAUUGCACUUUCUACUCGGCCUGUUUGUUUCCUUGAAGCUCUUGGCCUUAGCUCAAGAGGAAAACCAGUUCAUCUAUCAUGGCUUCACUGGAGCCAACCUGCUCCUCAGCGAGAUUGCAAAAAUCCAUCCAAAUGGUCUCUUAGAGCUGACAAACACUUCAAAACGGAUAAUUGGCCGUGCUUUCUUCCCAUUCCCUUUUCAGUUCAACACAUCUUUAUUCAACAAUUCUCGGUCUCUCUCAUUCUCUACCCAGUUUGCGUUCGCCAUGGUUCCUGAGCUGCCUACACAUGGUGGCCAAGGCAUGGCCUUCACAAUCUCUCCAUCUGUGAACUUCACAGGGGCUUUGGCAACUCAGUACUUCGGAAUCCUCAAUUCUACAAGCAAUGGCCUGUCUUCAAACCAUCUAUUGGCAGUUGAGCUGGAUGCAGUUCCAAGCCCGGAUCUUAAAGACAUCAAUGACAACCACGUUGGAAUUGAUGUAAACAGCUUGAUAUCCAUUGAAUCUGCUCCGGUGACCUACUUUUCAGAUGAGGAAAAGGAGAAUAAGAGCUUGACUCUCAUAAGUGGUCAUGUGAUGCACGUGUGGAUAGAUUACGAUGAAGUAGAGAUGCUACUCAAUGUUACGGUUGCUCCUAUCACAAGAACAAAACCAACCUUGCCUCUCUUGUCAACACCUCUCGAUCUUUCUUCAGUUAUGUUGGAUUCUAUGUACGUUGGUUUUUCUUCAUCUACUGGAGCAGUGGCAAGCAGCCACUAUAUUCUGGGGUGGAGCUUCAACAGAGGCGGACAAGCUCAAAGUCUUGACGUGUCAAAGUUGCCUACACUUCCUACUCGAAGAAAAUCAAGAAAGAAACCACAUUUAAGAAUUGUGGUCCCAACAAUAACAGCAAUCAUUUUGCUGGUAGCAAUCUCUGGUGAUGUUUGUAUAAUAAGGCGGAAGAAAUAUGAAGAACUGCGCGAAGAUUGGGAACAGGACUAUGGUCCUCAAAGAUUCUCCUACAAGGAUUUAUACAAAGCAACCAAGGGUUUCUCAGACAGUGAGUUGCUGGGAUGUGGGGGUUUUGGAAAGGUUUACCGAGGAGUAUUGUCUUCUUCCAAUAUGCAAGUCGCGAUCAAGAAAGUUUCCCAUGAUUCCAGGCAAGGUGCUAAGGAAUUCGUUGCUGAGAUUGUUAGCAUGGGGAGGCUGAGGCACAGGAACUUGGUCCAGCUCUUCGGCUAUUGCCGGCGAAAGGGAGAGCUCCUCUUGGUCUAUGAUUAUAUGCCCAACGGAAGCCUUGAUAAACUCCUAUUUCGCAAUGACACACCCUGCCUUAAUUGGGGUCGGCGAUAUCAAAUCAUCAGGGGAGUUGCGUCUGCCCUUCUUUACCUUCAUGAAGAGUGGGAACAGGUCGUUAUGCAUAGAGAUGUGAAAGCUAGCAAUGUUCUAUUAGAUGCCGAUCUUAACGGACGGCUAGGAGAUUUUGGGCUAGCUAAGUUUCAUGACCAUGGAUCAACUCCUCAAACAACCAAAGUGGUUGGAACAGUUGGAUAUCUUGCACCAGAGAUUACUAGAACAGGAAAGUCAACUACCUGCAGCGAUGUUUUUUCUUUUGGGACAUUUAUGCUCGAAGUGGCAUGUGGAAGGAAGCCUGUAGAGUCAGAAAGACCACCUGAGGAGGUUGUUCUGGUUGACUGGGUACUUGAAUGCUGGAAGAGAGGUGCCAUUCUUGGGACAGUUGAUCCUAGAUUUGAAGGUAACCACGUGGAGGAAGAAAUGGAGGUGGUCUUAAAGCUAGGCCUGCUCUGUACACAUCGCACUCCGGCAGCUAGACCUAGCAUGAGGCAAGCGGUGCAAUAUCUGGAUGGAAAUGCUACUCUACCUGAUUUACCACUGCACGGUGAAGGAAUCGGUUUAGUUCCAGUUAGCAAUGAUGCAUCUACAGAGCAUGUUUUAACAAUCCCGAUAUCAUCAGAUGGAAUUUCUUCCAAUUCCUUGUCCGACUCUGAAUCAAUCCUCAGUGGUCGUUGAACCAGCAAUGCUUCAUGGAGGAUUGAUUACGUAAAUAUGUACAUUAAGACUUUUUCGAUGUGAAAUACAGAGGAAGGUGCCGCAUAAUUUCGAAGAUUGUAGCAUUUGUGCAAUUUUUUUCCAACCACUUGUAUAUUUUGAAGAAAGUAUCCCAUGAUUCCAGGCAAGGAACUGUUCAAUUUUUUCCAACCACUUGUAUCUUGUGAGUUAUUUUACCAUAGAACAGUCGACCUCCCUGCAGACCAUAAGCCCAGAGGCAAGGAGGGCUUGUAAGAGUUAUUCAAUUGUGUUAAAAUUGUAGUGUUUGAUUAAUAAUAUACAAAUAUUUCUUAACUAGCAGAAUUAAUAGAUUUAUGAAACAAAUAACAAAUUCUAUUUAAACUUAGCAUGCAUUGUCAAUCCAUCUUGGUUGAUUAUUGUGGUUGAUUAAAGUCAAUCGAUGAUGGUCGAUUUAUGAUUGAUCAUGUUGAUUUUGUUGGAAAAUAAUUUUGAUGCCUUUCACAUCAAAUAAAUAAUAAAUUAUAUAAGCAAAAUAGAUAUUAUUACUUACUAAAGAAUUAUAUACAAACAAAGAAAACCUGUUAUGUUAAUUAGUGUGUUAAUGAUUCAAUAAUUUAUUAUGAAGGUUAAAUUUGCUUGUCACUUAAUAUAAACUGUACAAAUUGCUUUUCAGAAUUCAAACAAAUCAUCUUAAAAUAUUGCACUAUAGAUCAUAGCCUACAAAUAAUUUUGAAAAUAUUUUAUAAUUAAUUCAAACUCUAGUCGAGCACUGAUUUAAUUAAGCUCAAAAUUCACAUGGCCUAAAAUCUCUCUAAUCUUAAAGUUUUUGUGUUUUACAAGCCAAUUUAAACUUUCAAUUUCUACUAUAUAUGCAUGUUAUAAGAUCUUAUAAUCUUUCAAUUUGGAAUUAAUAUUAUUUGGAUUUUUUAAGAUUAAUUUCUUAUCCAUUUAUAAUUUAUUUUAAGCCUGUUGUUUUUUCAUGUUAAAAUAAUUAAUUUGGAGAAUUUAUUUAUUAAAUGGUUGGUUAAUUCAAAUGAUUCUAUAAAUCUUGUCAUUGCUUCUUAAAAUUGAUAAGAUUAUAGAACUCAAAUAUUACUUAAUCAAAAAAAGAAAAAAAAACGAUAGAAAUAGAAAAAAGACAAGAAUAAUCUGUGUGCUACGCCAACGCAUGAGGAGACGAGACUAGAGCCACGCCAACGCAUUACGUGUCCACCUCAAGUUUCUUUCUUAGCCAUUACGUAUCGGCUACGGCAUCGCAUCGCAUCGCAUGACGUAUUUAAUUUCUACUAUUUAUUAUAUUCAUUUAUUACUAUUUUCUUUUAAAAGAAGUGGACUGAAUAUUGUUUUUUAAGUCUAUCUUUUUAGAAAUAUAUUAAAUUAAUAUUUUAAAAAAUUAUUUUUAAUAUCAGCCGAUUGAAAUCAUUUAAAAAUACAAUAAAAAUAUUUAUUUAAAAUUAAAAAAUAUUUAUUUUUUUAAAAAAAUAUUUUUAAAUCAUAAAAACAAAAAAACUCUAAAUACACCGUACGAGUGACUACUACAACUGUUUAUUGUCAUCUUUACCCUCUCCUAGUUUCUUGAUCAAAACACAAAGUAGACUUUAAGCAUUGAGAAUCAGAGGGGCCACUUUGACCAUCCUUCAAAGAUUAGAGCUGCUGAUAGAUUUAAUUUUCUGCUAGCUAUCAAUAUUUAACAAGACGGAUCGUUCUUUUGUAUAAAAAAGUCAAAGAUGGCCACCCAGAAAUAACGUCGUUGAAAUGGACCAAGUUUAACACAAAUAUCCUUUUUUCUUUUUUUUUUCUUCUUGAUUUCCACUUGGAUUCUUGAACCAACACUUCAAUUUGUUUUUUCUUUGAGUUUAGUCUCUUUUCUUUUGUUUACUAUUUGUUUUAUUUGAAAAACAUUAACGUCCCUAAUUACAGUUCCUUCAACACUUCAAAUCUGUGAACAAACUAGGGAAUUCUGAAAAACCAGGUCUGAAUCCGGACACUUGCGCAUCGCAUGUCCGAGCAACAGAGGUUUAAAACUAUUGAUUCAAUCUGCAAUAUUCAGUAAAAUGAUAAUUAUUUUGGAAGUCCAAUUAGUAAUAGAAUUUGUUUCUUGCCAUAGAAGAUUUUAGAAUUUUAUUUUCUUUGAUACUGUAUCAACUUUGAAAAGUAGUUUUCCCUAUUUUUUAAGAGAAAAAGUUUUGGAGAAGGUUCGCAUGCACGCAAGUCAUAGCAAUGUGAAGAGACGUGUUAAUAAUUCAGUCUUUAGAAACUGUAACAACAAUUAAGGAAAAACUCGAAGCGAAAAAACUUUUACCAAUGUGUAACUGAAGAAGCAAAAACAAUCUUCUGCACGUUCUUAUGAUGAUUGCAUCGUUCAAAUCAUUGCACUUCCUGCUCGGCCUGUUUGUUUCCUCGAAGCUCUUGGCCUUAGCUCAAGAGCAAAACCACUUCAUCUAUCAUGGCUUCACUGGAGCCAACCUGCUCCUCAGCGAGAUUGCAAAAAUCCAUCCAAAUGGUCUCUUAGAGCUGACAAACACUUCAAAACAGCAAAUUGGCCGUGCUUUCUUCCCAUUCCCUUUUCUGUUCAACACAUCUUUAUUCAACAAUUCUCGGUCUCUCUCUUUCUCUACCCAGUUUGCGUUUUCCAUGGUCUCUGAGCUGCCUACACUUGGUGGCCAUGGCAUGGCCUUCACAAUCUCUCAAUCUACGAACUUCACAGGGGCUUUGGCAACUCAGUACCUUGGAAUCCUCAAUUCUACAAGCAAUGGCCUGUCUUCAAACCAUCUAUUGGCAGUUGAGCUGGAUGCAAUUCGAAGCCCGGAUUUUAAAGACAUCAAUGACAACCACGUUGGAAUUGAUGUAAACAGCUUGAUAUCCAUUGAAUCUGCUCCGGUGACCUACUUUUCAGAUGAGGAAAAGGAGAAUAAGAGCUUGACUCUCAUAAGUGGUCAUGUGAUGCACGUAUGGAUAGAUUACGAUGAAGUAGAGAAGCUACUCAAUGUUACAGUUGCUCCUAUCACAAGAACAAAACCAACCUUGCCUCUCUUGUCAACACCUCUCGAUCUUUCUUCUGUUAUGUUGGAUUCUAUGUACGUUGGUUUUUCUUCAUCUACUGGAGCAGUGGCUAGCAGCCACUAUAUUCUGGGGUGGAGCUUCAACAGAGGCGGACAAGCUCAAAGUCUUGACGUGUCAAAGUUGCCUUCACUUCCCCCUCAAAGAAAAUCCAGAAAGAAGCCAUAUUUAAGAAUUCUGGUCCCAACAAUAACAGCAAUCAUUUUGCUGGUAGCAAUCUCUGGUGCUGCUUAUAUAAUAAAGAGGAAGAAAUAUGAAGAACUGCGCGAAGAUUGGGAACGGGAGUAUGGUCCUCAAAGAUUCUCCUACAAGGAUUUAUACAAAGCAACUACAGGUUUCACGGACAGGAAGUUGCUGGGAAGUGGAGGUUUCGGAAAGGUUUACAGAGGAGUAUUGCCUUCUUCCAAUAUGCAAGUCGCGAUCAAGAAAGUAUCCCAUGAUUCCAAACAAGGAACUAAGCAGUUUGUUGCUGAGAUUGCUAGCAUGGGAAGGCUGAGGCACAGGAACUUGGUCCAGCUCCUAGGCUAUUGCCGAAGAAAGGGAGAGCUCCUCUUGGUCUAUGAUUACAUGCCCCACGGAAGCCUUGAUAAACUCCUAUUUCACAAUGACACACCCAGCUUUAAUUGGGUUCAUCGAUAUCAGGUCCUCAGAGGAGUUGCGUCUGCCCUUCUUUACCUCCAUGAAGAGUGGGAACAGGUUGUUCUUCAUAGAGAUGUUAAAGCUAGCAAUAUACUGUUAGAUGAUGAUUUCAAUGGUCGACUAGGAGAUUUUGGGCUUGCUAAAUUCUAUGAUCGUGGGGCUAAUCCUCAAACAACCUGUGUGGUUGGAACAGUUGGAUAUAUCGCGCCAGAGGUUACUAGAACAGGAAGGGCCACUACCAGCAGUGAUGUUUUUGCUUUUGGCACUUUUAUGCUUGAAAUGGCCUGUGGAAGGAAACCUGUAGAGCCAGAACAAUCAGCAGAAAAGAUGAUUUUGGUUGACUGGGUUCUUGACUCCUGGAAAAUAGGAGACAUUCUUCGAACAGGUGAUCCAAGAUUGGAAGGUAAUUACGUGGUGGAGGAAAUGGAAUUGGUUUUAAGGCUAGGUCUGCUUUGUUCUUUCUCCACACCACAAGCUAGGCCAAGCAUGAGGAAAAUUUCGCAAUAUCUGGAUGGGAAUGCUAGCCUGCCAGAGAUGCCUCUUGAUGGUGCUAGCAUAGGUUUGAUGCCAGUUAGUCAUGAAGAGCCUGGGGAUUUCACCUUGUCUUUCCAUAGAUCUAAUGAUUACUCUGCUCAUUCCUUCUCUAGUACCGACUCAAUCCUCAGCUGUGGUCGUUGAAUCAUGGCUUAACGAGGUAAAAAUUCUUUAAUCUAAAGACUAACAGCUGGCAUGUGGAAGGUAGAUUGGAAUACUUAGAGGGUUACCUUGUUUGUGCAUACCAUAGUAAUCCUCAAAGCACAACAAAGACUGCUCCAUGAGGGGUUAAUUAAUUAGCAUACAAACAUAGGUAUAAUUUAUGAUUUAAGCAAAACACAUGGUUGAAAUAGUACAAUGUUUGAUGUACAAUGCUGGUCAAUGAUGGCCGUGUAGCUUCUUCCAUUCUCCUCAGUGCUCUAACCCCACCCCACAAUUCAACUCAACUAUGCCUCAUUCCCAAACUAGUUAGAAUCAGUUUCACAGAUCUUCCUUCUCCAUUCAUUUAGUCCUUGUUCCUUUUUUGAUAAAACUCUCCACUUACUUCUGUUAUGGACUCAAAUGAUUAAUCACCUAUGCCUACCUCGUUUUUACAUGGAAGGUUAAUUACAUAUUGAAAUAUUCUGACUUCUGAUAUAGUGAUCUGCAGAAGCAUAGGCUUCAGUCAACUUUCUAAAAUACAGAAAAUCCAACACCCAGUAUCAUCGAUUAUCCUAACUAGAGUGCAGUUCAGUGUGAUAUAGCUGCUGGCUGGGUGGUUUAUUCACAGACUAGUAGUGGAAUAAAAAAAAUGGUGAUAAGGUAUCUUGAUGCUGAUGUUAUACACACAUAUAACUGUUUUAAUCUUUCUACAAACAGUCAAGAUUGCAAAAACCACGUUCAAGGAAGAAAGAAGAUAUAGACAGCAGCUUUGUAGGUUGAAAAGGGAUUAAAACACCAGCCAAGAAAAAGUAAAAGAAACAUUGCAACAAAAUUUGCAAUAAGAAGGCAGCAAUAUUAAUAACCCUGCUUUCAGAAAGAGUGUACAUAGUCAAUUACCUAAUGAAAAGGCUAGAGAUGUCUGAUCAAUAAGUUUCCAUCAUUUCUCCUGGUUAUUGGGUCACAGCUUGUUGCAGAUGAGGCAGCGCAACCUCUUGGGACAGAGUACGUUCACUUGCUGUGCAGCCUUUCCUGCAUCCAACUACCCUUAGUGAUUAAACAGACUCUAAUUUAUCAAGCAUGGAGAUUAGUUGUAAUGAUCAACUUUAAUUCUAAUUUGGGUCCCUCAAAGAACUUACACAGAGCAAGGUAAACAUGAAGUGACUUGAUUCCAUCUUAGGAAAAACAAGCUCAUACUGGAAAAGAUUUAACAGACAUUAGCCUCCCCGAAAAAUACCACAAAAAAAAAAAAAAACAAAAACAAAAGGAAGUUGAUACAGAUGCAGGAUAGCCAUCAACGUGAAAAUUACCGGUACUGAUGUGUUCAUAUGAACUUAUGGUGCCCGUGUGAGCUUGGAAGAGAGAACCAACCACUCCCUUUCCUCCUGGUAAUAUCUUGCUGGUCACAGAGGUGUCAAAGGCAAGGACUGCAGCCAUGGAUCAACUGUUGUAGUGGCUGUGACUGACCAAAUCAGCUCACUAAGAUAAUCCGCCUAUAGGAAAAGAAAUGAAUCAGGGAAGGAUGAUCUGUGAGUGGUGUGGUUUUUAUUAUGAAAUAAAAGUUUGUUUUUGUAUUUUAAAAUGUUUUUUAAAAAUUUUAAUUUUGUUUUAAAUAAGUUUUUUUUAUGUUUUUAAAUAUGUUAAAAGUAAUUUUUAAAAAAAAUAUAUAUUAUUUUAAUAUAUUUUUAAACAAUAAAUACUUUAAAAAAUAACAUUAUUACACUAACAAAACAAAAUGAAAAAGCUUAAGAAAUAGCUAAUUAUCACUAAAAAGUGAAAGGGAGACAUCUUAAUGGCAAAGUGAUGGCUGAUGUGCCAAUGACAGCCAUGAAUACCACUUAUUGGGACUAUACAUAGACAAACAUCUGAUUGAUGAUGAUAGGCAGAGCUCAUGAAUAGCUUGAACCACAACCUUUUGAACAGUUCCAAGAUAUUUGAAAGUAUCUUGUGAGGUUGCAGCAAACUGGAUAAGCCACCCGUUCCGUCUUUUCCCUUUUGCAAGUAUCACAUGCUUAAUUGCUUACACAAACUAUUUAAAACUACUAAAGAAUUUUAAUAAAAGAAACGCCAGCUGAUUGCCAGUUUUGGCGAAACGUUCAAAAGGCUUUGGACAAGGUUGAAGUCGGAGACAAAUUCAAAGCUACAGUAGCCCUUAAUGCUGAUGUUUACAAAUCAUCUUCCAAUAACCCAUCUUCGACUGUUGGGAACGAGCCUUUCUUGUCAAGUUUUAAUAGCACUUGCGACAAUGUUACGUUUACGUUUCCACCAUUUCAAGACGUUCAUAAGGCUUAGGACAAUGAUGGAGUCAGAGACAAAAUCAAAGCUACAGCAGCCCUUAAUGCUGAUGUUCAUGAAUCAUCUUCCAACAAACAACCUGAUGGCAAUUUCCGUAACAACAUAAAGGAUGUCACGAUUCACACUGUGAAGUUCGUCAAAUUAAAGCUCAUAAUGGGAGAAGUUGGCUGGCCUACAGAUGGUAACAGUGCUGGCGAUUUGAAGAUCAUAAUGGGAGAAGUUGGCUGCCUACAGAUGGUAACAUUAAUGCCGACCCCAAAUUAGCUAAAACGUUCCAUGACGGUCUCUUUAAAGAAGGGAACCCCUGUCCGACGAGGUUAAUUGGAUGUGUAUCUCUUUGGCCUAAUCGAAGAAUCAGAAGAGCAUUGCACCAGGACAUUUCGAGAGACAUUGGGGGCUCUUUCGCUUCGAUGAACAGCUAAAAUUUCCAUGGAUUUAUCUGGACAAGGUGAUGAAGAGAUGCUAAUAGCAUCAUAUGGAGUCCAAUACAUGCCAUCUCAAUGGUGUGUGCUUGAUGAGGAAAAUAAGAACUUGACCAUGAUAAAAUUGAAAUCAGCUAUGCCCUGCUCUUUGGUCGUGAAUGUUGAAUAUUUAGAUAGCAUUUGGAAAUGCAGUUUUUUAAUUUUUUUAAUUUAAAAUUAUUUUUUUAUAUUUUGGAUUAUUUUGAUGUUAUGAUAUUAAAAAUUAUUUUUUAAAAAAUUAAAAUUAUUAUUUUUAUAUAUUUUUAUAUAAAAAGUAAUUUAUAAAAUAACAUCUAUCAUCUUCAAAUAUCUUCUUGCUAGAGCUCCGCCUUGGCAUGCAUGCCCACUAGGGGUGUUCACGGUUCGGUUCGGAUCGGUUUUUAUCAAAAAAAGUAACCAAACCGAAAUUUUUUUUUAAAAAAAAAAACCGAAACCGGUUCAAACCGACCGGUUUCGGUUCGGUUCGGUUCGGUUUUUUAGAGAAAAAACCGGUUCAAACCGGUUUGGCUCGGUUUUUCCGGUUUGGCUCGGUUUUUUCGGUUUGGCUCGGUUUGGCUCGGUUUUUUUCGGGUUCGGUUCGGUUCGGUUUUUCCGGUUCCAGGCUUAAAAAACCGAAACCGAACCGAACCGGUCGGUUUUUUCAAAAUUUUAAUCGGUUUAAUCGGUUUUUUUUUUCGGUUCGGUUUUUUUGGUUAUUUUUUUUCCGGUUUUCUCGGUUUAAUCGGUUUUUCGGUUUUUUUGAACACCCCUAAUGCCCACUACCCAUCUUUAUUAAUUGUGUCUAUGGUUUUGGUUAUCUUGUUUUUCUAUUUUUUUUUCUUGUAAAUGACAAGUUUCAUUAUGUAUUUUGUUUUUCAUUUAUAUAUGUUUUUAUAUUUUUCUCCAAAAUUUUAAAAUUAAAUAUUUAUUAUCAUAAAAUUUUAUUCUUGUCAAUUGUCAUAAUUCUUUGAAAAUUUUUGAAGCAUGUCAUUAUGCUUAAAGAUAUUUAAGUUUUUUAUUUAUAAAAAUAAAAUUACAUAUCUGAAAAUUUAUAUUUUUUUUAUUUUUACAAUCAUAAUUUCAUUUGAAUAAUUUAUAAUAAUGGUCGUAUAAAAAAAGAAUAGAUUAUAAUUAUAAAUUGUUUUAUAAAUGAGAAAAAACAUACAUUCAAAAAAGAUAUUAUGAAAUAUUUUUUGAAAGAAAAAACAAUUAAAGGUAAUUUUUUAAAUAUAUAAAGCACAAUUAAAUUUGAACUUUCUUGGAAGAUAAGCUAUAAAAAUAAAUUUAUUGAUCUUAAGAAUUAGCACAAGAAGAUUUAUUGACAAUUUAUCUUUAAAAAUUAAAUUUAUAGAUACUUCUUUCAACUUCCUCUUUCUCUUUCUAUUUUAAAGUUGUGUGGCACAAAAAUUACACGUUGAAGGAAAGAACGUGUGUAUAUCCUCUUUUUAAGUGUGUGUUUAGUAGUGCAUUAUAUGUUAUUUUUUAAAAGUAUUUUUAAUUUAAAAUAUAUUAAAAUAAUGUAUUUUUAUAUUAAUACAUUAAAAUUAUAAAAUAAAUUUAAAACAAAUAUUAAAUUAAUAUUUUUUUCAUAUAAAAAAUUGGCUUAACAAACAUUAUAAAAAAUAAAUCGAACCACAAAAACAAUAGCAGCCUUAAAUGCAACCAAACAUGCUUAAAGCAAGCAUUAGGUUUUAAUAAUAAUAAUAAUAAUAAGAAGCGAGCAAGGGUUGCAUACCCGAGCGAUGAUUGCAGACCCAGUUUCCAAACCCUCACCCCUAAGCUGCAGACCCACUUGCCAAGGUUUGCAGAACCCCGCGCUUGGGGUGUGCAGAACUAGGAGCGGGGUGUAGACCCACCCGUCUGGGUUUCUUCUAUUGCGCCUGAGGUCUGCAGACCCCCCAGGAGUUGUAGAACCCGUAGAGAAAAUUAACAAAUUUGAAAAAAAAAUGAAAACAAAUAUAAUAACUAAUAACAAUUAUUAUUGUUAUUGUUAUUGUUAUUAUUAUUAUUAUCGUAAAUAAAUUUUAUAAAAAUAUUAUUACUAUAAAAACUUGGACUAGACAAGUUUAAUAUUAUUAUUAUUAUACUAAAUAUUAUUGUUAUUUAUUGUUGUCAUUAGUAAAUUGAAAACAAAAUUAUUAUUUAUUGUUAUCAUUUCAGGUGGGGUUGAAUUUCCUUAUUAAAACAUGUUUUGUUUUGGUUUUUAAAAAUGCUUUGAAACAAAUUUGACAAUUUUUUAUUUUUUUCAUUACUUCAAAUUAAUAUUUUUUCUUUUAAUUCAUAUUAAGAUGUUUUUGUAUUAUUUUGAUGUGAUUAUAUAAAAAAUAGAUUUAAAACAAUAAAAAAUAUUAUCUCAAUAUAUUUCAAAAAAAAUAUUUUAAGAUAUUUUCAAUUUUAUUUUUUUCCCUCUUCAAAUAUUUUUUUCUCUUAUUGAUUUUUUUCAUACUGUAAAGAGAAAAUAAAUUAAUGUGACUUUUUUUUAUAUUAUACAAAAGUUGGGUGAUGAUAAUUUUUUUUCAUUUCAAGUUGGGUUGAAUUUUCUUAUUAAAGUAUGUUUGGUUUUGCGAUUCAAAAAUGGUUUGAAAAAAAUUUAAAUUUUUUUUAUUGUUUUCUUUACUUCAAAUUAAUAUUUUUUAUGUUUUUAUAUUUUGUUUUUAAAUAUAUUGAGAUUGAGUCUGGUUGCAUAGCCACACCAAAAAGAAUAUAUUAAGUUGGGUCCUAUCCAGCAGGACCCAAAAUAGCUUUGGGUCCAGCCGCCGCUGGACCCAUCAGCCUUGGGUCUUGUCCCUAACAGGAUCCAUCAGCGUUAAGUCCUGCUCCUAGCAGGACCCAUCACUAUUUUUUUUUUUUUCUUUUCUAUUGGGUCAGGCAUUUUCUUCCAGAACCAAGAAACUUGGGUAAGAAACGACGCCUCACCCAAGGAGCUUGGGUGUGGCUAGGCACAGACCCAAAUCCAAAUCCCUUUGGUCUUAAAGACCCGCCUGGCCCAAGAUUAUUGGUCCUUCGUCAGGACCUAAGGCUAAUGGGUUAUGCGUCAGGAAUCAAGGCUAAUAGGUCGUGAGUCAAAACCCAAUGUUCUUGGGUCCUGUGUCAGGACCCAAUUUCCUUAGGUUAUGUCAGGACCCAAAACUAAUGGAUGUGACAUCAAGACCCAAGAUUCUUGGAUCUUAGAUUUCUAAAUAUAAUUAUUUAUGAUAUAAAUAUAAUUAUUUUUAUUAUAAUUAAAAGUACUAAUAUUAAAAAUAGUAUUAUUUGUGAUAUAAAUAUUACUAUUUUUAAAAUAAUUAAUAAAUUUGAAAAACAUUAUUAUCAGUAUUGAAAAACAACUAUAGAUUUCAUUUGAAGUGUAAAAUAAUUAAUAAUAAUAAUAAUAAUUAAAUUUUAAAAAAAUAUUAUUAUUAUCGAAGAAAAAACAUAUUUUUUUUAAGAUUAAAAAAAUAAAAAAUUUGGCUGACAAGUUAAAUAUUAAUAUUAAUAUUAUAAAUAUUAUUGUUGGAUUUAGCGUUGCAGCCAGACGCAACGCUCAUGGGUUCGUCGUUGCAGCCAAACUCAACACUUUUAGAUCUUAGAUUUUUAUUAUAUCUUUUUAUUAAAAUAAAAGGUGAGCCCGGGCCGUAGUGCGGGCAAAUAAGAAAAAUGAAAAAAAUAUCAAUUAUUAUUAUUAUUAUUAUCGUUAAUAAACUUUUUUAAAAACAUUUUUACUAUAAAAAAUUUGGCCAGACAAGUUCAAUACUAUUAUUAAUAUGAUAAAUAUAAUUAUUUGUAUUCUAAAUAUUAUUAUUUUUAUUAUAAUUAAAAGUAUUAGUGUUAGAAAUAUUAUUAUUUGUGAUAUAAAUAUUAUGAUUUUUUUUAUAAUUAAUAUUAUUAAUAUUAAAAAUACUAUUUUUUAUUAUAAAUAUUAUAAUUUUUAUUAUAAUUAAUAUUAUUCUUAUAAUAAUUAAUAAAUUUGUAGAAAAUAUUAUUAAUAUUGAAAAAAAUAGAUUUAAUUUGAAGGGUAAAAUUAAGAAUUAUUAUUACUAUUAUUGUUGUUGUUAUUGUCAUUACUAGAUUUUAAAACAAAAUUACUAUUGUCAUAGAAGAAAAGCAUAAUUAUUUUUUAAAAGAUUGAAAAAUAUGAGAAUUUGGGCAGAGAAGUUAAAUAUUAUUAUUAAUAUUAUAAAUAUUAUUAAAUUCAUUAAUAUUAUUACAAUAAAAAUAAAUAUUAUUGCUAUUAAAGAAAACAUAGAUUUGAUUUGAAGGGUAAAAUCAAUUAUUAUUAUUGUUAUUGUUAUUGUUAUUAUUGUUAUUAUUAUUAUUAUUAUUAUUAUUAUUACUAUUAUUUUCUUCACUUCAAAUUAAUAUUUUUUCUUAAUUCAUAUUAAGAUGUGUUUGUAUUAUUUUGAUGUGAUUAUAUAAAAAAUAUAUUUAAAAAAAUUAAAAAAAUAUUAUCUCAAUAUAUUUUUUAAAAAUAUUUUAAGAUAUUUCCAAUUUUAUUUUUUACUCUCUUGAAAAAACAUUUCUUUUUUCUUAUUGAUUUUUUUUUCAAACUGUAAAAAAAAAUUAAAUUAAUGUGACUUUUUUUAUAUUAUACAAAAGUUGGGUGAUGAUAAUUAUUUUUUCAUUUCAGGUGGGGUUGAAUUUUCUUAUUAAAGCAUGUUUGAUUUUGGUUUUCAAAAAUGCUUUGAAAAACAUUUGACAAUUUUUAUUUUUUGUCUUUACUUCAUAUUAUUAUUUUUUCCUUUAAUUGAUAUUAAGAUAUUUUUGUAUUAUUUUGAUGUGAUUAUAUAUAAAAUAGAUUUAAAAAAUAAAAAAAAUUAUCACAAUAUAUUUUUUUAAAAAUAAAAAAUAUUUUAAGAUAUUUCCAAUUUUAUUUUUUUCCCUCUUGAAAUUUGUUUCUUUUCUCUUAUUGAUUUUUUUUUAUACUGUAAAGAGAAAAUAAAUUAAUAUGACCUUUUUUUAUAUUAUACAAAAGUUGGGUGAUGAUAAUUUUUUUUUUCAUUUCAAGUUGAGUUGAAUUUCAUUAUUAAAGCAUGUUUUGUUUUGCGUUUUAAAAAUGCUUUGAAAAAAAUCUGAAAUUUUUUUAUUGUUUUCUUUAUUUUAAAUUAAUGUUUUUUAUGUUUUUAUAUAUAUUUUUAUUUUGUUUUUAAGUAUAUUGAGAUUAGGUCUGGUUGCGCAGUUACAUCCAAUGAGAAUAUAUUAAGUUGGGUCUUGUCCCGAGAAGGACCCAAAAUAGCUUUGGGUCCAGCUGCCGCUAGACCCAUCAGCAUGGGUCCUACCUCUACAAGGACCCAUCAAUAAUUGUUUUUCAUUUUUUUUUUCUUUUCUCUUGGUUUGGGCAGUCUCUUCCAGACCCAAAAAACUUGGGACAGGAAAAGGAGGGCACACCCAAGGGAGCUUGGGUGUGGUUAUGGAGUAGACCCAAAUCCCUUAGGUCUACAACUCCGUUUGACCCAAUAUUAUUGGUCCUUCUUCAGGAUCCAAUUUUUUGGGUCCUGAGUUAGGACCCAAGGCUAAUGUGUCCUGCGUCGGGAUCCAAUGCUCUUGGGUACUGAGUCAGGAUCGAAUUCUCUUGGGCUGUGUUAGGACCCAAAGUUCUUGUGUCCAUCAUCAGAACCCAAGGCUAAUAAGUUCUGCAUUAUGACUCAUGGUUCUUGUGUGUUAGGUUUCUAAAUAUAAUUUUUUGUAUUAUAAAUAUUAUUAUUUUUAUUAUAAUUAAAAGUAUUAAUAUUAAAAAUAGUAUUAUUUGUGUUAUAAAUAUUAUUAUUAUUAUUAAAAUAAUUAAUAAAUUUAAAAAAAAUUAUUAUUUGAUUUGAAGUGUAAAAUUAAUAUUAUUAUUAUUAUUAUUAUUAUUAUUAUUAUUAUUAUUAUUAUUAUUAAAUUUUAAAAAAUUAUUAUUACUAUGAAAGAAAAACCAUAAUGUUUUUUUUUGAAAGAUUAAAAAAAUAAAAUUUUUGACAAACAAGUUAAAUAUUAUUAUUAAUAUUAUAAAUAUUAUUGUUGGGUUUUGCAUUACAGUCAGACUCAACGCUCUUAGAUCCGAUAUUACAGCCACACCCAACGUUUUUAGAUCUUAGAUUUUUAUGAUAUUUUUUUUAUUAAAAUAAUAGGUGAGCCCGCAGCAUUACUCUUACGUAAAAAUUAAUGAGUUAAAAUUGAAAAUGGGUUUGGAUUUCCUUAAUUUUACCCUGGAUUGGAUUAUGUGAAAAAAAAUUAAAAAGUUACCCUAAAUUUUAUAAGUUUAUAAUACUUUAAAUUAAUAAAAAAAAUUAAAGUAUUAUAAGUUUGUCAUUAUAUUAUAUGUUUCACGUCAUUUGGGUUGCCAUUGUCAAAACCAUAGUUAUUAAACCCGGCCCGGGGUUGACCCGGCCAAGAGGCCGGGUCCCGGGUUUCAUAGGUCAACCCGGAAAAAUUAAAAAAAAAAUUAAAGUUUUAAUAUUUCAUAUGAAAAAAUCCAUGUAAAUAUAAAUUAUACAUAUUGUAAACAAUGAAGUUUAAAAGAAUAUUUUAAAAAGGUUUUUAUCCCACAUAAAAAAAAUAUUAUGUUAAGUUUUUAAGUUGAAGUAUUUAAACUAAAAACGUUUUUUAUCCCACAUUGAAAAAACAUGAUUUUUUACUUGGGAACAUAAAGUAUAUAUAACAAUGGGUUUCAAAUCUCACAUUUAAAAAAAAAAACUGGAUCUCGUUCAAGUUUAUCCGGGUCGCCUGAGUCAUGAGUUGACCUGCCGGGUCACCCGGAUUUAGCUGUACUGUUGCCCCAACCAGUCUUUUACUAAACCAAGUAGCAGGGCCAAGUCCUCUUCCUUCGACAUCGAAGCUUCUAUAUGCUUCAAUGCUGUUGAAUUUGCCGACGGCUGUUUUUAAUGAUUCAAUAAUUUAUUAUGAAGAUUAAAUUGCUUGUCACUUAAUGUAAACGGUCUAAAUACAAAUUGCUUAUCGGGAUUCAAACAAUUUUAUCUUAAAAUAUUGCACUAUAAAUCAUGACCUAUAAAUAUUUAAAUUUUUUAAGAUUAAUUUUUUAUUUAUUUAUAAUUAAUUUUAAAUUUAUUAUUUUUUAUAUUAAAAUAAUUAAUUAAUUUGACAAAUUUGUUUAUUAAAUGAUUGUAUCGUUCUUCUGCAUAGAGUCAAAGAUGGCCACCUAGGAAGAACGUCGUUGAAAUGGAUUUUUCACCCUUCAAAUUAAAUUAAAUUAUAAAUAAAUAAAUAAAUCUCAGACACGUGCUUGACUAAGUUUAUUCAUUGGAAUGGUGCGUUCGCAGAUUUGCCCUUGCACUGAAAUAUUGAGGUCAAUUUAGUCUUUUCACGGGAUCCAAAUUAAUCUCAGACACGUACACUUACAAGCAAAAACAAUUAACUUGUAUUCAGGUGCUUUUUUAUCUUUUUAAACUGAUUUUUUUUAUUAUAAUAAAGUUAAUUUACAAGCAAUUUGAUUAUUUAAUAAAUCUAUUUAUAUUAAAAAAAACCUGGCACGUGGGCUUUUCUUAUGCUAUUUGUGUGGCUGGUACCAUGAUGUUUGGAAGGCAAAUAGUGGUUUUCAAGGCGGUGUUGAAAUCGUCUUGACAGUUCUUUCAUGUUUAGGUUACGCUUGUGGUCAACCAAUCUAAGAUUUAGUGCUAAUAACUUUCUUUUUUUCCUUCUUGAUUUCUGCACUUGACCCUCUGAAAUUUAAAACCAGCCUUUCAAAUUAUUUUUUCUUGGAAUUUGAUCUCUUUUCUUGUAAUUAUUAUUUGUUUUAUUUGAAAUAAUUUAUAGAAUUAAAAUUUUUUUCAACUUCAUCAUCCUUCAACUUUUUCAUCUAUUAAAUUUGGUCCUUAUUUAUUCAUUUUAGAUGGUUUUUAGAAUUAAUUUUUUUUCAUGAUUUUAUUCUCCAAUUUUUUUCUAUCAAAUUUUAUCCUCAUUUUCUCCUUUAUUUAAGCUCGGAUCUCUUUAGCUUCAUCAUUCGGUAUUUAUUUAAUAAGAGAUUAGACUCCGUUAUUUUUUUAUUUUAUUUCUAUAGAAACUUUCAUUGGUUAUGAAAAUAACGUGGGUUAUAUUGAGUCUUUUUAUUUGUUGCUCUUUGUUAAAUUUAGCUUUUUUUGAGAAAUUUAAUUUUUUAUUAAAUUAAAUUAAUUAAUUAAAUAUAAGCAUGAAAUGCUCAUUUCAUGAUAUUUUACUUGGUUUUAUUUCUGGUGAUAAGACGGUGUUCACAGACUUUUCCUUCAUUUGCUAUUGGGUCUUAUAUUGGUAACUCAUUUUUUAUAGUUAACUAUUGCAAAAAAAAAUUAUUUUAUUUACCGUUGAUAUCUUUUUUAAUCAUAUUAUUAAAUUAAUCAAGCUUAUUGAAUCAAGUCAAAUUAAUUACCUAAAUCUCAAAUUUGUUUUGCUUCUUUAAAAAUGUUGGCGCCCUUGAAUAUUUUUUUUUGUCAAUUUUUUUUUUAUAUAUCUAUUAUCAUUGUAUUUUUUUUACUCGUAUUAUUUAAAUUAAUCUAACUUAUUAAUUCCCAUAAAAAAUGACUGGAGUCUCAUUAACUUUUUAAAACAUUUUAGAAACAAUUGUGCCAUCUUAGCAUCUUUUUUACCGUUAAAAAAAAAAACUUCAGCCUAUGCAAGCCAUCCAUCUAGUUUCAAUCUAGUACCCCAUUUCCAUUGCUCAUAAGAAUCAGGCUUGAACAUCCUUUUAUUUUGGUUUAGAUAAAUUAAAGAAAUGCCAUUGCAGUGCUCUUUGUUACUUCAAUCUUCUUUUUACCCUAAACUAAGUAGAGUUCCUUCAACACUUUAAAUCUGUGAACAAACUAGGGAAUUCUGGAAAACCAGGUCUGAAUCUGGACACUUGCGCACCGCAUGUCCGAGCAACAGAGGUUUAAAACUAUUGAUUCAAUCUUCAAUAUUCAGUAAAAUGAUAAUUAUUUUGGAAGUCCAAUUAGUAAUAGAAUUUAUUUCUUGCCAUAGAAGAUUUUAGAAUUUUAUUUUCAUUGACCUUGUAUCCACUUUGAAAAGUAGUUUUCCCUAUUUUUUUCCAAGAAAAAGCUUUGAAGAAGGUUCGAAUGCGCCCAAGUCAUAGCAAUGUGACGAGAAUUGUUUAUAAUUCAGUCUUUAGACUGAGGAUUUGAAACUGUAACAACAAUUAAGGAGAAACUCGAAGCGAAAAAAGUUUGUUUUCUUUUACCAAUUAAUGUGUAACUGAAGAAGCAAAAGCAAUCUUCUGCACGUUCUUAUGAUGAUUGCAUCGUUCAAAUCAUUGCACUUUCUACUCGGCCUGUUUGUUUCCUUGAAGCUCUUGGCCUUAGCUCAAGAGGAAAACCACUUCAUCUAUCAUGGCUUCACUGGCGCCAACCUGCUCCUCAGCGAGAAUGCAAAAAUCGAUCCAAAUGGUCUCUUAGAGCUGACAAACACUUCAAAACGGCAAAUUGGCCGUGCUUUCUUCCCAUUCCCUUUUCAGUUCAACACAUCUUUAUUCAACAAUUCUCGGUCUCUCUCGUUCUCUACCCAGUUUGCGUUUGCCAUGGUCCCUGAGCUGCCUACACUUGGUGGCCAUGGCAUGGCCUUCACAAUCUCUCCAUCUGUGGACUUCACAGGGACUAUGGCAACUCAAUACUUUGGAAUCCUCAAUUCUACAAGCAAUGGCCUGUCUUCAAACCAUCUAUUGGCAGUUGAGCUGGAUGCAGUUCCAAGCCCGGAUCUUAAAGACAUCAAUGACAACCACGUUGGAAUUGAUGUAGACAGCUUGAUAUCCAUUGAAUCUGCUCCUGUGACCUACUUUUCAGAUAAGGAAAAGGAGAAUAAGAGCUUGACUCUCACAAGUGGUCACGUGAUGCACGUGUGGAUAGAUUAUGAUGAAGUAGAGAAGCUACUCAAUGUUACCGUUGCUCCUGUCACAAGAACAAAACCAACCUUGCCUCUCUUGUCAACAUCUCUCGAUCUUUCUUCUGUUAUGUUGGAUUCUAUGUACGUUGGUUUUUCUGCAUCUACUGGAGCAGUGGCUAGCAGCCACUAUAUUCUGGGGUGGAGCUUCAACAGAGGCGGACAAGCUCAAAGUCUUGACGCCUCAAAGAAAAUCCAGAAAGAAACCAUAUUUAAGAAUUCUGGUCCCAACAAUAACAGCAAUCAUUUUGCUGGUAGCAUUCUCUGGUGCUGCUUAUAUCAUAAGGAGGAAGAAAUAUGAAGAACUGCGCGAAGAUUGGGAACAGGAGUAUGGUCCUCAAAGAUUCUCCUACAAGGAUUUAUACAAAGCAACUACAGGUUUCACGGACAGGAAGUUGCUGGGAAGUGGAGGUUUUGGAAAGGUUUACAGAGGAGUAUUGCCUUCUUCCAAUAUGCAAGUCGCGAUCAAGAAAGUAUCCCAUGAUUCCAAACAAGGAACUAAGCAGUUUGUUGCUGAGAUUGCUAGCAUGGGAAGGCUGAGGCACAGGAACUUGGUCCAGCUCCUAGGCUAUUGCCGGAGAAAGGGAGAGCUCCUCUUGGUCUAUGAUUACAUGCCCAAUGGAAGCCUUGAUAAACUCCUAUUUCGCAAUGACACACCCAGCCUUAAUUGGGUUCAGCGAUAUCAGGUCCUCAGAGGAGUUGCGUCCGCCCUUCUUUACCUCCAUGAAGAGUGGGAACAGGUUGUUCUGCAUAGAGAUGUGAAAGCUAGCAAUAUACUGUUAGAUGAUGAUUUCAAUGGUCGACUAGGAGAUUUUGGGCUUGCUAAAUUCUAUGAUCGUGGGGCUAAUCCUCAAACAACCUGUGUGGUUGGAACAGUUGGAUAUAUCGCGCCAGAGGUUACUAGAACAGGAAGGGCCACUACCAGCAGUGAUGUUUUUGCUUUUGGCACUUUUAUGCUUGAAAUGGCUUGUGGAAGGAAACCUUUACAGCCAGAACAAUCAGCAGAAAAGAUGAUUUUGGUUGACUGGGUUCUUGAUUCCUGGAAAAUAGGAGACAUUCUUCGAACAGGUGAUCCAAGAUUGGAAGGUAAUUACGAGGUGGAGGAAAUGGAAUUGGUUUUAAGGCUAGGUCUGCUUUGUUCUUUCUCUACACCACAAGCUAGGCCAAGCAUGAGGCAAAUUGCGCAAUAUCUGGAUGGGAAUGCUAGCCUGCCAGAGAUGCCGCUUGAUGUUGCUAGCAUAGGUUUGAUGCCAGUUAGUCAUGAAGAGCCUGGGGGUUUCAACUUGUCUUUCCAUAGAUCUAAUGAUUACUCUGCUCAUUCCUUCUCUAGUACCGACUCAAUCCUCAGCUGUGGUCGUUGAAUCAUGGCUAGAUGAGGUAAAAAUUCUUUAACCUCAAGACUAACAGCUGGCAUGUGGCAAGCCUGGUAUUAGUGGUGAAGAGGAAGGUAGAUUGGAAUACUUAGAAGGUUUGUGCAUGCCGUAGUAAUCCUCAAAGCACCACAAAGACUGCUCCAUGAGGGGUUAAUUAAUUAGCAUAGACCCAAAGUUUGGGUUUUGAGUCACGAUGUAAUUCUUUUUGGCUGUGUCAGGAUACAAAGUUCCUGGGUCGUCAUCAAGACCCAAAGCUAAUAAAUUUUAUAUUAGAAUUUAAGAUUUUGAAUCUUAGGUUUUUAAAUAUAAUUUUUUAUAUUAUAAAUAUUAUUAUUUUUAUUAUAAUUAAAAGUAUUAAUAUUAAAAAUAGUAUUAUUUGUGUUAUAAAUAUUAUUAUUAUUAAAAUAAUUAAUAAAUUUGAAAAACAUUAUUAUCAAUAUUGAAAAACAACCAUGGAUUUGAUUUAAAGUGUAAAAUUAAUAAUAAUAAUAACAACAAUUAUUAUUAUUAUUAUUAUUAUUAUUAUUAUUAUUAUCAUUAAUAAAUUUUAAAAAACUAUUAUUACUAGAAGAAAAACCAUAAUUGUUUUUGAAAGAUUAAAAAAAAUUAAAAUUUUGGGAAACAAGUUAAAUAUUAUUAUUAAUAUUAUAAAUAUUAUUGUUGUGUUUUGCAUUGCAACCGAACUCAACGCUCUUGGAUUCGAUGUUAUAGUCACACUCAAUGUUUUUAGAUCUUAGAUUUUUAUGAUAUUUUUUUAUUAAAAUAAUAGGUGAGCCCGCGGCAUAGCGUUGGCCACCUAACUAGUAAUUACUAAUUCUUAAGUGUUCUAGCUUAAGUAAAAAUUAAUGGGUUAAAAUUGAAAUUGGAUUUGGAUUUCCUUAAUUUUACCCGAGUUACUGGAUUGGAUUAUGUAUAAAAAAUUAAAAAGUUACCCUAAAUUUUAUAAGUUUAUAAUACUUCAAAUUAAUAAAAAAAUUAAAGUAUUAUAAGUUUGUCAUUAUAUUUUAUUUAACUAAAAUCCGGAUACAUCAAAUUAACAAAAAUGCUACUAUACGCACAUCAUCAAGAACAAUCAUCAUUGGGGCUCUAAUUCUCCAUUCAAAAUGCAAAUUCCGUUUUGGGACCAAAUCAUUGCCCAUUCUUCCAUCAUCCCCUCCAUGACCCCUUGUUUAUCUGUUGGCCAUAAGAUCCAUGUUAUUAUCUCUUUCGCGACGCAUUCUCAAGAACCGAAACCUCAAAUCGAACCACAAGUUGCAAAGCCGAAGAGGAAAAGAAAAGCAAAAGCAGGGAGUCCUUAAGUUUCAAACAAAAGAAGAGAUUUUGAGUCGUGGGGCUUUUCACUUCAUGAUCCAAGGUUUUACCUUUAUUUUUGUUUCAGGUCAUUUGGGUUGUCAUUGUCGAAACCACAAGUAGCAGGGCCAAGUCCUCUUCCUUCGACAUCAAAGCUCCUAGAUGCUUCAAUGCUGUUGAAUUUGCCAACGGCUGGUUUAGAUGGCAGUGAGAUAGGGUUUUGCACUGCUACUACAUUCUUCUAUUAAGGGAAAGGCAUUUGUGGCUCACCUACGUUUGUCAUGUCCGUAACAGAGGCAUAAGAUGAGGUGCGGUGCCUGCACAAUCUGGUCCCAACAACAACAGCAAUCAUUUUGCUGGUAGCAAUCUCUGGUGCUGCUUAUAUAAUGAGGAAGAAAUAUGAAGAACUGCGCGAAGAUUGGGAAUGUCACGACCCGAUUCCCGGAUCCAUGACCGCCACAUAGAUAAGGUUCCUCUCCAAGGUUCCAUACCUAUGCGAACCCAAACUUACAUACAAUCUUAUCCUUUAAACAAUUUAAUCAGAGUUCAACCCAGCAUUAACAACAAACUAAUUUUAUAAUAUAAUUUAAUUGUCUUAAUACAAGAGUUAAUAUAAUUUUAUAGUUUUGGAGCACUAACUAGACAUAAAGGAAAAUGUACAAAUUACAACCAAAAGAGCAGGUUUUGAAGAUCCAACAAAAGUGACCUAUUAUCAAGCUAUAAGCCUGAAAAGGUAAAUAAUGAGAGGUUGAGUUCAACAACUCAGUGAGUAGAUAACGUUCAAUAUACACACACGAGGUAAUACAACAAUGAGAAAUAUAUAUACAAGUAUGACUUUAGGUUCUUAUAUAAAUGUUUUUCAAAAUGGCCAUAAUAAGAAGAUCAUAUGGUAAAACUCGUCAGAAAAUCAAAAUGCAAUGAGCAUGAGGCUCCGUACUGUAGGAUGAUCAGUCCACACAGGUUGGUGACUCCCCCGACCAACUAGGGUUCAGAUACGAUGUGCACAAAGACUAACACUACCAUGUUAGCAUGGGUAUUCUGACUGACAUACCAUAAAUUCAUAAUCAUAAUCAAACAGACAUAUUCAUAUCUCAAGGCUCAGCUCAUGACAUCAAUCAAAUGAGGAGCUAUCAAUUCAGAAGUCAAUUCAAAAUAUAUACUGGUUUAUAUCCAGAAUUCAGAUUCAACAAUUGAUCAUAUAUAUAUAUAUAUAUUAUCAAGAAGCAUGAUCCAAUUCAUAAUAACAAAUCAAAUAUUUAUAAUAUUUCUCAUGUAUAUGAAAAAUUAUCCACUCACCUGACUCGAAAGCAAAUAGCACUCAAAAGCCGAUACCGAAGGUAAUCCCACUAAUGUCCCGCUGGUAGAAUAUCAUGAUUAUCUGAUUACAAAGGAGACAUAUUCAAGAAUGACUCAAAAGAAUAUAUAUAACCUAUUUAAUACACUUAUCUAAGGGUGUAUUCCAUAACUCUAUAUGUUUUUAGACUAAACUAGUUAUUUUCCCAGAAACCCAAAAAUUAACGGUUUUCCUGAAAUAUAAUCCAUAAUAAAACAAAUAAUAAAAUUGAUAAUAAUUCACUAUAUAACCCUCAAUUAUUCAUCAAACCAAUCUGCAAAAGCUAAUAUUACAGCUAUGGACCAAUUUGUAAUUUAUCAUAUUUCUAAGGGUCAAAUUGUAACUUUUGUCAAAUUGAAGGACCAAACUAAAAAUAUCAUAAAUUUAUCACUAUACUGAAAUUCUGACCAUAAUUAAUCCUCAAUUCUGUCCAGAAUAUCUCAUUAUGCUCCAGGGACCAUUCUGGAAUUUUACCAAAUUGUUAGGGUCAAAUUGUAAUUUUUGUCAAAUUGAAGGACCAAAUUGAAAGUGUUAAAAUUUCAUAACUAUACAGGAAUUCUGCCCAUGAUUUAUCUUUUGUUCUGUUCAGAAUCUCGAAAUAUGCUCAAGGGACCAAUCUGUAAUUUUCCCAAGUUUGGGGAAAAACUGUAAUUUUCACAAAUUGAGGGACCAAACAAAAUUUUGUCAUCUUCAACCUCAAACCCAGAAUUUUCACAGAUUACCUACUGUUCUUUCCAGAUUUCUAACUCAAAAUUCACCAUUUACACAAAUCAUCAUCUUUACCUACAAUCUCUCAAAAUCAACUAAACAAUCCAUUACCCACAACAAUCAACCCAUAACAUUCAAAUUAAUUCAUCAAUUAAACCCAAAACAAAAUCUUCAAAACCCUAACAUUCAUCAAAACCGAAAUUUAAAGCUUAUAUAACACAUAUUUAUACAUAAUCUUACCUUUAAACUUAUUUCCUCCAACUCAUUUCUAAUUUUCUUCUAAUUUUCUUCUUUUCUCUUUUUCUUCUUCUUUCUCCCUUCUCUCCUGCCGUCCCUCACACUGAAAUUUCAGAUCCCUCUUUCCCUUUUUUUUUUUUACUUUCUAUUUAUAUUUAUCAUCUCUUUAUUCAAUUACUACUAUACCCUUCAUUAAUUUAUUCCUACAUCUAAGCCUUCAAGGCUUUGUAGUCUUUUCCUAUCUCUUUUAAUUCAAAACAUUACAGGGAACAGGAAUAUGGUCCUCAAAGAUUCUCCUACAAGGAUUUAUACAAAGCAACUACAGGUUUCACAGACAGGAAGUUGCUGGGAAGUGGAGGCUUUGGAAAGGUUUACAGAGGAGUAUUGCCUUCUUCCAAUAUGCAAAUCGCGACCAAGAAAGUAUCCCAUGAUUCCAGGCAAGGAAGUAAGGAAUUCGUUGCUGAGAUUGUUAGCAUGGGAAGGCUGAGGCACAGGAACUUGGUCCAGCUCUUCGGCUAUUGCCAGCGAAAGGGAGAGCUCCUCUUGGUCUAUGAUUAUAUGCCCAAUGGAAGCCUAGAUAAACUCCUAUUUCGCAAUGAGACACCCAGCCUUAAUUGGGCUCGGCGAUAUCAAAUCAUCAGGGGAGUUGCGUCUGCCCUUCUUUAAAGGGCACGUUUGGGAACGCGGCUGCGGCUGCGUUCCUAAAAUUUGAAAUUUUUUUUUUUUUUUUACUAAAAUUUAAUAUGGUUUGGAUCGUUUUGAUGUGCUGAUGUCAAAAAUGAUUUUUAAAAAAUUAAAAAACAUCAUUGGCAUGCAUUUUGGCACAAAAAGUUAUUUGAAAAGCACCCGCAAUCACACUGUAAAAAAUGCUCUUUACCUCCAUGAAGAGUGGGAACAAGUUGUUCUGCAUAGAGAUGUAAAAGCUAGCAAUGCUUCAUGGAGGAUUGAUUACGUAAAUAUGUACAUUAAGACUUGUUCGAUGUGAAAUAUAGAGGAAGGUGCCACAGAAUUUUGAAGAUUGUAGCGUUUCUGCAAUUUUUUUCCAGCCACUUUGUCUUGUGAGCUCUUACCAUAGAACAGUCACCCUCCCUGCAGACCGUAAGCCCAGAGGUAAGGAGGGCUUCUAUACAAAUAUUUCUUAACUAGCAGAAUUAAUAGAUUUAUGGAAACAUAUAACAAAUUCUAUUUAAACUUAGCAUGCAUUGCCAAUCGAUCCUGGUUGAUUAUUGUGAUAUUUGUUGAUUAAAGUCAAUCGAUGAUGGUUGAUUUAUGGUUUAUCAAGUUAGUUUUGGAUUGAUGUCUUAAACAUCAAAUAAAUAAUAAAUUAUAUAAACAAAAUAGAUGUAUUUACUUGCUAAAGAAUUAUAUACAAACAAAGAAAGCAGGUUAUGUUGCUGUAAAUUAAUGAUUCAAUUAUUUAUUAUAAAUGUUAAAUUUCUUGUUUUAAUGUAAACAGUCUCAAUAUAUAUAAACUGCUUUUCAGGAUUCAAAUAACAUUACUUUAAAAUAUUGCACUAUAAAUCAAGGCCUAAAUGUUUUUAAAAAAUAAUAAUUAAAUGACCUCACUAAUCAAGCGUAUUAAUUCAUGUAUUGGUAAAAAAUAUUUUAUAAUUAACUCAAGUUCUAGUCAAGCACGUCAUUUAAGCUCAAAAUCUACAUUGUCUAGAGUCUCUCUCGUCUAAAAACUUUUGUGUGUUAUAAGCUAAUUUAAAUAUUCAACUUCUUACUAUAUAAGUUACAAGAUCUUAUAAUCUUUCAAUUUAGAAUUAAUGUUAUUUAAAUUUUUUAAUAUUAAUUUCUUAUUUAUUCAUAAUUUAUUUUAAACAUAUUAAUUUUUAUGUUAAAAUAAUUAAUUAAUUUGGGGAAUAUUUUUUAAAAAUGGUUGGUUAAUUCAAAUGAUCCCCAUAAAUCUUGUCAUUGUUUCUUAAAAUUGAUAAAAUUAUAGAACUCAAAUCCUACUUAAUCAAAAAAGAAAAAAAAAAAAAAGGACGAGAGCUAAAUGGCCAGAGGCAUAAGUGGAGCGGAUUUAAGGAUAAGCGUAUGAUAAGAAUAAUUCGUGUGCUAUGUAUGCAUCUUACCACUAGGAGACGGGACGAGAGCCACGCCAACACAUUAGGUGUUACUUGCUCCACCUCAAGCUUCUUUCUUAGCCAUUAAGUGUCGGUUACGAUUUUUAUAAGUGUCGUAAUCGUUGUUUUUAAAGUAUUUUUAAUUUAAAAAUAUAUUAAAAUAAUAUUUUUUUAUUUUUUAAAAAUUAUUUUUUAUAUCAACAUAUAAUAAUAAUCUAAAAAUAAAAAAAAAUAUUAAUUAUAAAUAAAGCCCUGUGGUUACUCAUAUGAUGGCCACUGGAGGCUUACAUGGUCGUUAACUUCAGGACCCGUGAGAUUAGUCAAGGUGCGCGCAAGCUGGCCCGGACACCUACGUUAAACUAAAAAAAAAAACCCAAAGUAGACUAAAAAUUUAGAGUUAGCAUUGAGACUCAAUCAGAGAGCCCACUUCGACCAUCCUUCAAAGAUUAGAGUUGUUGAUAAAUUGACUGGAUAUUUGGAGUUUGGUUGUGAUUGUUUUUUGAAAUAUUUUUUAUUUAAAAAUAUAUUAAAAUAAUAUUUUUUAUUUUUUAAAAAAUAUUUUUAACAUCAAAAUGAUCUAAAAACACUAAAAAAUAUUAAUUUAAAGUAAAAAAAAUAAAAUAAAAAUUAAUUUUUUUUAAAACUAUUUUUAAAAUACAAGAAUAAAUAAUACAUUUGCAUUAAAGACAGAAUUGUCAUUUUCAAUUAGCUAUCAAUAUUUAACAAGGAGCAGUGCUUUUUCUAAGAUGGGAUCGUUCUUUUGUAUAAAGUCAAAGAUGGCCACCUAGAAAUAACGUCUUUGAAAUGGAAUUUUCGUGUUAUGGUCACCCUUUAAAUUAAAUUAAAUUAAAAAUAAAUAAAUAAAUGCCGACACAUACUUGACCAAGUUUAUUCAUUGGAAUGGUGCAUUUGCAGAUUUGCCCUUAUGCACUGAAAUAUUGAGGUUUAAUUUAGUCUGGGAUCCAUUUAUCUUUAUCAAAUUCAUCAAGAGCAAAAAGAUCUUCACAUGUUAUUUUUUUCACUCUAAAAUGACAAAAAAGCCUUUAAGAGAAAGGAAUUAUUAAACUAGUUUUCAAGGGCUUAUUUGUCCUUACACUUUCUUAACCGUAGUAAAAAACUGAUGUACACUUGCAAGCAAAAAUAAUUAACCUGCAUUGGCUUUUUCAUCUUUUCAAACUAGUAUUUUUUAUUAUAAUGAAGUUGAUUUAAAUGUAAUUUUAUCAUUUAAUAAAUAUAAAUAUUAAAAAAACAAAUGGACACAUGAGCUUUUUCUAGUGUUAUUUGUGUGGCCUGAAAGAUGAUGUUUGGGGCAAAUAGUGGCUUUCAAGAUAGUGUUGGAAUCGUCUUUACAGACCCUCUAUGUGUAGGCUAUAUUUAUGGCCAACUAAUCUAAGAUUUGGCAUUAAUGAUUUUUUUUUCUUCUCCUCAAUUUCCACACCUGACCUUCUAGAUUUUAAAAUCAGCCUUUCAAUUUGUUUUUUCUUUGAGUUUGGUCUCUUUUCUUUUUAUUACUAUUUGUUUUAUUUGAAAUAAUUUAUAAAAUUGGAAUUCUUUUCAACUUGAUCCUCCCUCAAUUUUUUCAUCUAUUAAAUUUGAUCAUCAUUCUUUUGAUUGAUAUUUAUUUGUUUUAAAUGGUUUUUUAAAUUGAACUUUCUUUUUUUACGAUUUUAUCCUCCUUCAAUAUUUUUCCUAUCAAAUUUUAUCCUCAUUUUCUCAUUCUUUUUUUUUAAGCUCGUGUUUCUUUAGUUUCAUCAUUCGAUAUUUAUUUAAUUAGAGAUUGGGCUCCGUUAUUUUUUUAUUUUAUUUUAGUAAAAACUUUCAUUGGUUUUAAAAAUGACAUGGGUUGUCUUGAGUUUUUUUAUUUGUCACUCUUUGUUAAAUUUAGCCUUUUUUUGGGGAAAUUUUAUUUUUUCUUAAAUUAAAUUAAAUUAUUUGAUUGAAUAUAAGCAUGAGUUACUCACUUCAUGAUAUUUUAUUUGGUUUUCUUUCUAGUGGUAAGGCGGUGUCCACGGUGAAAUGAUGAUGAAUCCCCAACAAGCUUUUCCUUCAUUUGCUCUCGGGUAUUAUAUUGGCAACUAUUUUUUUAUAGUUAACUAUUGCCAAAAAAAUUUGUUUUAUUUCCCAUCAAUAUUAUUAAAUUAAUCGAACUUAUUAAAUCCAAAUUUGUUUUGCUUUUUUAAAAACAUUGGCGCCCUCGAACAUUCUUUUUUUUUUUUGUCAAUUUGUUUUUCAAUUUAGCUAUUAUUGUUGCAUUUUUUAUUUGUAUUAUUUAAAUUAGCUUAGCUUAUUAAUUCCAGAAAAAAAAUGACUCAAGUCUUAUAUUUUUUUUUUACUUUUUAGAAACAAUUGUGUCGUCUUAGCAUCUUUUUUAACAUUAAAAAAAAAAUUCAGCCAGCACAAGCCACCCAUCUAGUUUGCAAUCUACGACCCCAUUUCCAUUUGCUCAUAAGAAUCAGGCUUGAACAUCCUUUUAAGUUUAGAUAAAUUAAAGAAAUGCCACCCAGUGCUCUUUGUCACUUCAAUCUUCUUUUUACCCUAAAUUAAGUACAGUUCCUUCAACACUUCAAAUCUGUGAACAAACAGAGAUUUAAAACUAUUGAUUCAAUCUUCAAUAUUCAGUAAAAUGAUAAUUAUUUUGGAAGUCCAAUUAGUAAUAGAAUUUAUUUUCUUGCCAUAGAAGAUUUUAGAAUUUUAUUUUCUUUGACCUUGUAUCCACUUUGAAAAGUAGUUUUCCCUAUUUUUUUCUAAGAAAAAGCUUUGGAGGGUUCGAGGGGCCCAAGUCAUAGCAAUGUGACGAGACUUGUUUAUAAUUCAGUCUUUAGACUGAGGAUUUGAAACUGUAACUGAAGAAGCAAAUAAGGAGAAACUCGAAGCGAAAAAAGUUUGUUUUCUUUUACCAAUGUGUAACUGAAGAAGCAAAAACAAUCUUCUGCACGUUCUUAUGAUGAUUGCAUCGUUCAAAUCAUUGCACUUUCUACUCGGCCUGUUUGUUUCCUUGAAGCUCUUGGCCUUAGCUCAAGAGGAAAACCACUUCAUCUAUCAUGGCUUCACUGGCGCCAACCUGCUCCUCAGCGAGAUUGCAAAAAUCCAUCCAAAUGGUCUCUUAGAGCUGACAAACACUUCAACACAGCAAAUUGGCCGUGCUUUCUUCCCAUUCCCUUUUCAGUUCAACACAUCUUUAUUCAACAAUUCUCGGUCUCUCUCCUUCUCUACCCAGUUUGCGUUUUCCAUGGUCCCGGAGCUGCCUACCCUUGGUGGCCAUGGCAUGGCCUUCACGAUCUCUCCAUCUGUGAACUUCACAGGG
rnacentral:lncRNA from 1 species